UACGGGGGGAGCAAGCGUUGUUCGGAUUUACUGGGCGUAAAGGGCGCGUAGGCGGUCAGCACAAGUCAAUUGUGAAAUCUCCGAGCUUAACUCGGAAAGGUCAACUGAAACUGUGCGACUAGAGUGCGGAAGGGGCAACUGGAAUUCUUGGUGUAGCGGUGAAAUGCGUAGAUAUCGAGAGGAACACCUGCGGCGAAGGCGGGUUGCUGGGCUGACACUGACGCUGAUGCGCGAAAGCUAGGGGAGCGAACGGG
rnacentral:rRNA from 1 species